GCCCCCGUAGCUCAAUGGACAGAGCGCCUGACUUCGGAUCAGACGGUUGUGAGUUCGAAUCUCGCCGGGGGCGCCU
rnacentral:tRNA from 1 species